UCAGGCCUAACACAUGCAAGUCGUACGAGAGUUUUUAACUCUAGUGGCGGACGGGUGAGUAACACGUGAGAAUUUGCCUUUAGGAGGGGGACAACAAUUGGAAACGAAUGCUAAUACCCCAUAUGCUUUAGAGUGAAAUGGAUUUUAUCCGCCUAGAGAGAAGCUCGCGGCUGAUUAGCUUGUUGGUAAGGUAAGAGCUUACCAAGGCGACGAUCAGUAUCUGGUUUGAGAGGACGAUCAGACACACUGGAACUGAGACACGGUCCAGACUCCUACGGGAGGCAGCAGUGGGGAAUUUUCCGCAAAGGGCGAAAGCCU
rnacentral:rRNA from 1 species